UACGGAGGGUGCAAGCGUUAUCCGGAUUUACUGGGGUUAAAGGGUGCGUAGGUGGGUCUGUAAGUCAGUGGUGAAAUCUCCGGGCUUAACCCGGAAAUUGCCAUUGAUACUAUAGGUCUUGAAUCAUCUGGAGGUAAGCGGAAUAUGUCAUGUAGCGGUGAAAUGCUUAGAUAUGACAUAGAACACCAAUUGCGAAGGCAGCUUACUAGGGAUGUAUUGACACUGAGGCACGAAAGCGUGGGGAUCAAACAGG
rnacentral:rRNA from 1 species